AUGCAUUGAAUAGACCAAGAUCAUUUUUGCUUUCCCCCAAAAAAACACAUCUUCACUUUGUGUGUCUCUUAACACCUGUUUGAAUUUGUUACCUCCAUUUGUAUUUCUUAUCCAUUUUUAAAAAAAUCUUAUCCCCAAAUGUUUUCCCUUUGUUGGUCUUACACACCCUUAUGUGUCUUUUACAACCACCAUACUGUGUGUCUCUUACUUCAUCCAGCCCUUUUGUAUGUCUCUAUCUCCACUCGCCCCUCUGUGUGUCUCUUCCCCCAGCCCCUUUGGUGUGCCUCUUUCUCCCCCACAGCCACUCUGUGAGUUUCUUUCUUCCCAACACUUUGUCCCACAAUCCCAGGCCCCCUUUGUGUCCCCCCCCCCCCAGCUCCUCUGUAUGUUUCUUUUUCCCCUUCCCCAGACCUCUGUGUAUCUCUUUUACCCCUUUCCUACUGUGACUCUUUUUACACUUCCCUUUGUGUGUACCUCUCCCCCCUCCCCCCCCAGCACCUUUUGUGUGUCUUUCCCCCAGCCCCGAAUCAGUGCGCCCCAAGGCGGAUGGCCCUGCCUAUGUCCUAUCCAUAAAUAAAAAAACAGAUAUGGUGAAAAAAUGAUAGUAGGACCAACCUAGGCAGUUAAAAAGAAAAUCUCCAGGCACUCAAGGUGUUCAAA